AGUCACAGCUGGAGGUCUGGCAGCGGUGUCAGACCCCUGGUGACAGUGCAGAGCUGCCAUGCCUUGGUCCGGCUGCUCUUUCAUCUCAUGUGAUGGGGAAUCAGGACUUGAUGGCAGAACAGA
rnacentral:snoRNA from 1 species